GUGUGGAAAUUAAAAGAACACACAUAUUUUGACUGGGGCUUUGAUCAACCAAAUGCUAAAAAGCCACAUAAAGAAGAUCCCUAAUAGUCAUUUCUCAACAAUUAUAUAGUCAACUGAUGUAACAAUGGUACUAAUAUUGGGACGCAGACUAAACAGAGAGGAUCUUGGGGUGCGUGAUUCCCCAGCAACUAAGCGAAAAGUUUUUGAAAUGGACCCCAAAUCUCUGACAGGUCAUGAGUUUUUUGACUUCUCUUCAGGAUCAUCCCAUGCCGAAAACAUACUCCAGAUAUUUAAUGAAUUUCGUGAUAGCCGCUUAUUCACAGAUGUUAUCAUUUGUGUGGAAGGAAAAGAAUUUCCUUGCCAUAGAGCUGUGCUCUCAGCCUGUAGCAGCUACUUCAGAGCUAUGUUUUGUAAUGACCACAGGGAAAGCCGAGAAAUGUUGGUUGAGAUCAAUGGUAUUUUAGCUGAAGCUAUGGAAUGUUUUUUGCAGUAUGUUUAUACUGGAAAGGUGAAGAUCACUACAGAGAAUGUACAGUAUCUCUUUGAGACAUCAAGCCUCUUUCAGAUUAGUGUUCUCCGUGAUGCAUGUGCCAAGUUCUUGGAGGAGCAACUUGAUCCUUGUAAUUGCUUAGGAAUCCAGCGCUUUGCUGAUACCCAUUCACUCAAAACACUCUUCACAAAAUGCAAAAAUUUUGCGUUACAGACUUUUGAGGAUGUAUCCCAGCACGAAGAAUUUCUUGAGCUUGACAAAGAUGAACUUAUUGAUUAUAUUUGUAGUGAUGAACUUGUUAUUGGUAAAGAGGAGAUGGUUUUUGAAGCCGUCAUGCGUUGGGUCUAUCGUGCCGUUGAUCUGAGAAGACCACUGUUACACGAGCUCCUGACACAUGUGAGACUCCCUCUGUUGCAUCCCAACUACUUUGUUCAAACAGUUGAAGUGGACCAAUUGAUCCAGAAUUCUCCUGAGUGUUAUCAGUUGUUGCAUGAAGCAAGACGGUACCACAUACUUGGGAAUGAAAUGAUGUCCCCAAGGACUAGGCCACGCAG
rnacentral:circRNA from 1 species